UACAGAGGUCCCAAGCGUUGUUCGGAUUCACUGGGCGUAAAGGGUGCGUAGGUGGUGGGGUAAGUCGGAUGUGAAAGCUCGGAGCUCAACUCCGAAAUGGCAUUGGAAACUACCCUGCUAGAGGAUUGGAGGGGGGACUGGAAUACUUGGUGUAGCAGUGAAAUGCGUAGAUAUCAAGUGGAACACCAGUGGCGAAGGCGAGUCCCUGGACAAUUCCUGACACUGAGGCACGAGAGCUAGGGGAGCAAACAGG
rnacentral:rRNA from 1 species